rnacentral:rRNA from 1 species
AUUGAACGCUGGCGGCAGGCCUAACACAUGCAAGUCGAGCGGAUGAAGGGAGCUUGCUCCUGGAUUCAGCGGCGGACGGGUGAGUAAUGCCUAGGAAUCUGCCUGGUAGGGGGGGAUAACGUCCGGAAACGGGCGCUAAUACCGCAUACGUCCUGAGGGAGAAAGUGGGGGAUCUUCGGACCUCACGCGAUCAGAUGAGCCUAGGUCGGAUUAGAUAGUUGGUGGGGUAAAGGCCGACCAAGGAGGCGAUUCGUAACUGGUCUGAGAGGAUGAUCAGUCACACUGGAACUGAGCCACGGUCCAGACUCCUACGGUAGGCACCAGUCGGGAAUAUUGGACAAUGGGCGAAAGCCUGAUCCAGCCAUGCGGCGUGUGUGAAGAAGGUGUUCGGAUUGUAAAGAACUUUAAGUUGGGGGGAAGGGCAGUAAGUUAAUACCUUGCUGUUUUGACGUUACCAACAGAAUAAGCACCGGCUAACUUCGUG